CCUUCGGGUGGACAGGGAGACAGGUGGUGCAUGGUUGUCGUCAGCUCGUGUCGUGAGAUGUUGGGUUAAGUCCCGCAACGAGCGCAACCCUUAUCAUGUGUUGCCAGCGUAGAGGCGGGCACUCACAUGAGACUGCCGGAGACAAUUCGGAGGAAGGUGGGGAUGACGUCAAAUCAUCAUGCCCCUUAUGGCCUGGGCCACACACGUGCUACAAUGGCCGGUACAGAGGGCUGCGAACCCGCGAGGGGGAGCCAAUCCCAAAAAGCCGGCCCCAGUUGGGAUCGGAGGCUGCAACUCGCCUCCGUGAACGCGGAGUUGCUAGUAAUCGCGGAUCAGCACGCCGCGGUGAAUACGUUCCCGGGCCUUG
rnacentral:rRNA from 1 species